rnacentral:pre_miRNA from 1 species
UGGCAGUGUAUUGUUAGCUGGUUGAAUAUGUGAGUAGCACCAGCUAACGUGCAGCUGCUAAC